CCGGGUGUGGCGCAGAUUGGUAGCGCGCUUGAAUGGGGUUCAAGAGGCCGCAGGUUCAACUCCUGUCACUCGGACCA
rnacentral:tRNA from 2 species